rnacentral:rRNA from 1 species
AGCCGAAGCGGCGGGGCCGCGCCUUUAUAGGGCGCGGCCGGUAGGGGAGCGUUCCGCGCAGGGGCGAAGCCGCCGGGGCGACCGGCGGUGGACCGCGCGGAAGCGAGAAUGCAGGCAUGAGUAACGAGAGAGGGGCGGGAAACCCCUCCGCCGUAAGCGCGAGGUUUCCUGGGCGAGGCUAAUCCCCCCAGGGUCAGUCGGGCGCUAAGGCGAGGCCGCGAGGCGUAGCCGAUGCCCAGCAGGCGGACAUUCCUGCACCGCCGCCGGACCGCUAGGACCGACGGGGCGACGAAGGAGGAUAGGCGGGCGGGGUUCUGGACGUCCCCGUGAAAGCGCGUAGGGCGGGCCGCAGGCAAAUCCGCGGCCCACGAGAGCCUGAGACGCGAGACGAAGCCCUCGAGGCGAAGCCGCUCAUUCCAUGCUUCCGAGAAAAACCCCUAGGCAGGGCCGGCGGCGCCCGUACCUAAACCGACACAGGUGCGCGGGUAGAGCAUACCGAGGCGUUCGGGAGAACCAUGGCCAAGGAACUCGGCAAAACCGCCCCGUAACUUCGGGAGAAGGGGCGCCGCCGGGGGUGGAGGGGCGAGCCCCCCGAGCCCGCGGCGGCCGCAGCGAAUAGGCCCAGGCGACUGUUUACCAAAAACACAGGACUCUGCCAAGCCGCAAGGCGACGUAUAGGGUCUGACGCCUGCCCGGUGCCGGAAGGUCACGCGGAAGGGUCAGCGAAAGCGAAGCCCCGAAGCCAAGCCCCGGUAAACGGCGGCCGUAACUAUAACGGUCCUAAGGUAGCGAAAUUCCUUGUCGGGUAAGUUCCGACCUGCACGAAAGGCGUAACGACCUGGGCGCUGUCUCGGCCAUGGACCCGGUGAAAUUGCAUUAUUCGUGAAGAUGCGAAUUACCCGCGGAAGGACGGAAAGACCCCGUGAACCUUCACUGCAGCUUGGCAUUGGCCGACGGUUCGGUGCGUAGAGGAUAGGCAGGAGCCCGCGAAGCGGGGGCGCAAGCCCCCGCGGAGGCGCCCUUGGAAUACUGCCCCCAUCGCUCCGGCGGCCUAACGCGCGGCCGCCAUCCGGCGCGCGGACCGUGCCAGGCGGGCAGUUUGACUGGGGCGGUCGCCUCCCAAAAGGUAACGGAGGCGCGCGCAAGGUCCGCUCGGGACGGUCGGCAACCGUCCUGUGAGCGCAAGAGCACAAGCGGGCCUGACUGCGAGACCCACGAGUCGAGCAGGGACGAAAGUCGGCUCUAGUGAUCCGGCGGCCCCACGUGGGAGGGCCGUCGCUCAACGGAUAAAAGGUACUCCGGGGAUAACAGGCUGAUCUUGCCCAAGAGUCCACAUCGACGGCAAGGUUUGGCACCUCGAUGUCG